rnacentral:rRNA from 1 species
GAAUUGCUAGUAAUCGCGGAUCAGCAUGCCGCGGUGAAUACGUUCCCGGGCCUUGUACACACCGCCCGUCACACCAUGGGAGCCGGUAAUACCCGAAGUCAGUAGUCCAACCACGUGAGGACGCUGCCGAAGGUAGGAUUGGCGACUGGGGUGAAGUCGUAACAAGGUACC